rnacentral:rRNA from 1 species
GGCGGCGUGCCUAACACAUGCAAGUCGAGCGAGGAGAUCCUCGGGAUGAUCCUAGCGGCGGACGGGUGAGUAACACGUGGGCAACCUGCCUCAUAGAGAGGAAUAGCCUUCCGAAAGGGAGAUUAAUACCUCAUAACAUUGCAGUUUCGCAUGGAACAGCAAUUAAAGGAGUAAUCCGCUAUGAGAUGGGCCCGCGGCGCAUUAGCUAGUUGGUGAGGUAAUGGCUCACCAAGGCGACGAUGCGUAGCCGACCUGAGAGGGUGAUCGGCCACAUUGGGACUGAGACACGGCCCAGACUCCUACGGGAGGCAGCAGUGGGGAAUAUUGCACAAUGGGGGAAACCCUGAUGCAAGCAACGCCGCGUGAGUGAUGACGGCCUUCGGGUUGUAAAGCUCUGUCUUCAGGGACGAUAAUGACGGUACCUGAGGAGGAAGCCACGGCUAACUACGUGCCAGCAGCCGC